rnacentral:lncRNA from 1 species
GGUACUUCCUGUCUCUGAUCUAUGAGCCCUCACCAGUGCCCUGUACUGAAGAAUCCAUCUAGGGCCUUGACUUUCUGUUUGACCCAAGAUCUGAUCCCCCUUCAGAUGAAAACACUAAGAACAUUUACUCUGUGUGUGAUGCAUUGUAUUUCUCUAAUUUAGUAACAUAUUAGUGUUCUGUUUGAGUUCCUGAAUUAGAUACCUGAGGUGUCCAUUAUUCAGAACUUCAAGGAGGGCAGAUUUAAAGUGUUCUUGUUGGUUUUUAAUCAUAAUGUGUUUCUUGGUUGGUUGUUUUCCUUCCCUUAUUUGUUCAGUUGACUUUGGUCUUCCUGAUUUAAGUACAAUGCUGUGUGUGUGUGUGUUUUAAUUAGUUUUUUGUAAAGAGUCAGUUAUUCUCCGUAAGUGAUCCUUAGAAUGAAAAUCUUAUGGUAGUGCUGGUGCUUCGGUGCUGCAUUUAUUCACAGUACUUCAUUAGACGUGAUGUGUAAGAAGAGACGCUUGGGCCGGGGCGUUGAUUCUGUUCCUGCACUGACGGCAGCUCUCCUUGUGAUCAUCUUGAAUAAUGUUGCUCCAAUCUCCAUGGACCUUUAUUUCUUUACUAAAAAUAAGUGUGUUGGGUUAUCAUUUGCCAUUCUAACAGUCUAGAAAUCUGCCCCUUAAAUAGCUUCAUCUCUUUUAGUUCUCAACAAGAUCAAUUGUGUUUUUACUGAUUUCAUAUUAAGUAGAUUCUUUUAUGAAACCAUACCAGGAGACCCUUUAAUUUCAUGAGUAAUUAGUCUCCUUCAGUUUGGGUGUUUGAUGAUAGAAAUGAUGAUAAAGUUUCCCGUAGGUCGCUAAUCCUGUCUAUGAAAGGAAGUGGAUGCCUGUCCACUUUAGUCCCAUCUGGCGAUACUCUGUGAUCUGUGUCCUACCUGGCUUGUUUGUUUUUCUUUUCCUUACCUUGCCCUUGAUUUGUAAAUCUAUCCUUCUGGUCUGUAGGCUUUUGUGUAACUCAUACACAGUGCUAGCCUAGAUAUUCUGUCCUGGCAUAACUAGUCGCUUGAAGAAGGGAGAGAUGGAUCACUUAUCAUUCUGGUUACACUGACUGUGAGAGGCAUGCAUUUGUGUAGAAUUCUUUUAAUUAAAUUCUGAUUCAUUAUGAUUUCCCUUUAUCUUGCCAGCAGAUUGUUUCUGUUACUUGGAUUUAUAGUCUUCUGCCUCUGGACAAUAUGACUAACUACACAGUAGAUCUGAUUUGAAUGACUAGUCAGAAAGAUUCCAUAUAUGCUGUUUUUCCAUAUUAAAACACAAAUUGUUUUUUAUUUGUUGUCUCAAUAUAUUUUGUUUAUAAAAGGUCCAUGUUGUGUAUUUUGCAGCUGAUUUAUAAAAGAUUAACUUGAUAGCUACAUGAGAAAAUUGAAAACCCAUUUAUCAACAUCAAAUGAAACACUGUCUCA